UUUAAGCACAGCCAUAAGUUUUUUUAUCCAACUUUAAUCAUCCGUCUUAUUUGAAUUUUUGUUAUGAUUAGUAUUUUUAUUAUUAUUUGAUGAUAAAACAUAAAUAAUACUUUAUACUACAUGAUUUAUGUUUUUUUAUUAUUUUUUUCAAAAAAAAAAUUAAAUAAGACGGACGAUUAAAUUUGAACACGGAUACUCAUAACUACGCCUAAA
rfam:Oryza sativa Japonica Group DNA, chromosome 3, cultivar: Nipponbare, complete sequence.